AAACGAUAAUAACACACAAAGUAGCUUUCCGAGCAAGACAUUUGCAGUUUGGAGUUUCAAUUGCUCCUGGCAUAUUUCAGAAUUUAAUGGAGGACCUCUUAUCUGGACUUCCAGGUGUAGUGCCUUAUUUUGAUGGCGUUCUUAUUUUGAUGACAGUCAUUGGCUGCACAGCUUGUUUUACAAUGUUUUCUUGAUGCUGGUCUAAAACUUAAAAAAGAAAAGUGUGUUUUUGGUGUAAGCAGCAUGGAUUUCCUUGGUUACGGCGUUGACACACAGGGC